GACGAACGCUGGCGGUGUGCUUAACACAUGCAAGUCGAACGGAAAGGCCCUGCUUUUGUGGGGUGCUCGAGUGGCGAACGGGUGAGUAACACGUGAGUAACCUGCCCUUGACUUUGGGAUAACUUCAGGAAACUGGGGCUAAUACCGGAUAGGAGCUCCUGCUGCAUGGUGGGGGUUGGAAAGUUUCGGCGGUUGGGGAUGGACUCGCGGCUUAUCAGCUUGUUGGUGGGGUAGUGGCUUACCAAGGCUUUGACGGGUAGCCGGCCUGAGAGGGUGACCGGCCACAUUGGGAAUGAGAUACGGCCCAGACUCCUACGGGAGGCAGCAGUGGGGAUGAUUGCACAAUGGGCGGAAGCCUGAUGCAGCAACGCCGCGUGCGGGAUGACGGCCUUCGGGUUGUAAACCGCUUUCGCCUGUGACGAAGCGUGAGUGACGGUAAUGGGUAAAGAAGCACCGGCUAACUACGUG
rnacentral:rRNA from 1 species